GGCUCUUCGCUUCCUCGACAUCGGGUAUGAUAGAAAUGGUGAGGUCGGACACAGUUAACUUCUAGAAUUACACUGGAAUAAACCUCUUCAUACUACCCGACAUCUCUUGUGUUCAAAACCCACUCCAGCAGCUGACAACGUAAUCUAGGCUGACACUUCAGUGAUGUACCGAGUGAGUGCUGCACAAUUGGAGGUGCCAUCUUUCAGGCUUUUAGAUUUCUUGUCCAGUUGCAUAACCACAAUAAGAAAGCAACUAUGAAGGGAAAUAAUAUGUUGGCCUUCAUUGCAAGAAGAUUUGAGUACAAGAGUAAAGACAUACUGCAAUUACAAAGAGCCCUGGUGAGACUGGAGCUAGGAAAGCUAUGUUCAGAAUUCUUCACUAACGCUAGACCAGUAUUUGCUCCUUGAAAUUGUGCCAACAUCCCAACUGGAGUCACGACCAAGACCACCAAGAAAGAGAAGGAUCGAUUCACCAUCUGCACCUACAGCA